rnacentral:lncRNA from 1 species
UUUGAUCAAAUUUUCAAGAUUUGGAUGAUUUCUCAUGGAAUUCUCGAUGUCUUCGAGGAUAUGCUCCUCAGUAGCAUCUUGUACGGGGUGAAAGGGGAGUAGAUUACGAGGGAAUUUGGGAAUAAGAGGGAAAGAAAAGGAAGAAACUAGUGGAGUAGACAGAGAAUGGUUGAUUGGUAUCGAGAGGAAAUGGAGGUUUUUGUAGGGUUUGUGAAUUCUGAUGAUUUUGGAAGGUUUUGAUGGCCAAGUUGGGGACUGAAAUUGAGCUCUGUGGGUCACAGAGGCUCUGGAGAAGAAAGAUGAAAAUGAGAAAAAAAAAA